UAGGGAAUCUUCCGCAAUGGGCGAAAGCCUGACGGAGCAACGCCGCGUGAGUGAUGAAGGUCUUCGGAUCGUAAAACUCUGUUAUUAGGGAAGAACAAAUGUGUAAGUAACUAUGCACGUCUUGACGGUACCUAAUCAGAAAGCCACGGCUAACUACGUGCCAGCAGCCGCGGUAAUACGUAGGUGGCAAGCGUUAUCCGGAAUUAUUGGGCGUAAAGCGCGCGUAGGCGGUUUUUUAAGUCUGAUGUGAAAGCCCACGGCUCAACCGUGGAGGGUCAUUUGAGACUGGAAAACGUUAGUGCGGGAGAGGAAAGUGGAAUUCCAUGUGUAGCGGUGAAAUGCGCAGAGAUAUGGAGGAACACCAGUGGCGAAGGCGACUUUCUGGUCUGUAACUGACGCUGAUGUGCGAAAGCGUGGGGAUCGAACAGG
rnacentral:rRNA from 1 species